UACGGAGGAUCCAAGCGUUAUCCGGAUUUAUUGGGUUUAAAGGGUGCGUAGGCGGCCUAUUAAGUCAGGGGGUGAAAGACGGUAGCUUAACUAUCGCAGUGCCUUUGAUACUGAUGGGCUUGAAUGUACUUGAGGUAGGCGGAAUGUGACAAGUAGCGGUGAAAUGCAUAGAUAUGUCACAGAACACCAAUUGCGAAGGCAGCUUACUAAAGUAUGAUUGACGCUGAGGCACGAAAGCGUGGGGAUCAAACAGG
rnacentral:rRNA from 1 species